rnacentral:rRNA from 1 species
UACGUAGGGUGCGAGCGUUGUCCGGAAUUAUUGGGCGUAAAGAGCUUGUAGGCGGUUUGUCGCGUCUGCUGUGAAAAUCCGGGGCUCAACCCCGGACUUGCAGUGGGUACGGGCAGACUAGAGUGUGGUAGGGGAGACUGGAAUUCCUGGUGUAGCGGUGGAAUGCGCAGAUAUCAGGAAGAACACCCGUGGCGAAGGCGGUUCUCUGGGACGGUACUGACGCUGAGACGCGAAAGCGUGGGGAGCGAACAGG